GACGAACGCUGGCGGCGUGCUUAACACAUGCAAGUCGAACGGAAAGGCCCUGCUUGCAGGGUACUCGAGUGGCGAACGGGUGAGUAACACGUGGGUGUUCUGCCCUGCACUUCGGGAUAAGCCUGGGGAACUGGGUCUAAUACCGGAUAGGAGCCCUUUUUAGUGUGAUGGUUGGAAAGUUUUUUCGGUGUAGGAUGAGCUCGCGGCCUAUCAGCUUGUUGGUGGGGUAAUGGCCUACCAAGGCGGCGACGGGUAGCCGGCCUGAGAGGGUGGACGGCCACAAUGGGAAUGGGGUACGGCCCAGACUCCUACGGGAGGCAGCAGGGGGGAAUAUUGCACAAUGGGCGCAAGCCUGAUGCAGCGACGCCGCGGGGGGGAUGACGGCCUUCGGGUUGUAAACUCCUUUCGCUAGGGACGAAGCUUUUUGUGACGGUACCUAGAUAAGAAGCACCGGCUAACUACGUG
rnacentral:rRNA from 1 species